rnacentral:rRNA from 1 species
CUCAGUUCGGAUUGGAGGCUGAAACUCGCCUCCAUGAAGUUGGAUUCGCUAGUAAUCGCGCAUCAGCCAUGGCGCGGUGAAUACGUUCCCGGGCCUUGUACACACCGCCCGUCAAGCCAUGGGAGUUGGGGGUGCCUGAAGUUCGUGACCGCAAGGAGCGACCUAGGGCAAAACUAAUGACUGGGGCUAAGUCGUAACAAGGUAUC